rnacentral:rRNA from 1 species
GUGGGGAAUUUUGGACAAUGGGCGCAAGCCUGAUCCAGCAAUGCCGCGUGCAGGAAGAAGGCCUCCGGGUUGUAAACUGCUUUUGUACGGAACGAAAAGGUCUGGGUUAAUACCCUGGGCUCAUGACGGUACCGUAAGAAUAAGCACCGGCUAACUACGUGCCAGCAGCCGCGGUAAUACGUAGGGUGCAAGCGUUAAUCGGAAUUACUGGGCGUAAAGCGUGCGCAGGCGGUUUUGUAAGACAGGCGUGAAAUCCCCGGGCUCAACCUGGGAAUGGCGCUUGUGACUGCAAAGCUGGAGUGCGGCAGAGGGGGAUGGAAUUCCGCGUGUAGCAGUGAAAUGCGUAGAUAUGCGGAGGAACACCGAUGGCGAAGGCAAUCCCCUGGGCCUGCACUGACGCUCAUGCACGAAAGCGUGGGGAGCAAACAGGAUUAGAAACCCCGGUAGUCC